GCGUGCGUCNUGAAGUAAAACUGCGAGUCUUGUAGUAAUACAAGGCUUACGGCUCAGUAACGCGUAGUCAACCUACCCUAUGGACGGGGAUAACCUCGGGAAACUGAGAAUAAUACCCGAUAGAACAUUAUACCUGGAACGGUUUAUGUUUCAAAUAAUUUAUUGCCGUAGGAUGGGACUGCGGCCUAUCAUUUUGUUGGUGAGGUAAUGGCCCACCAAGACUAUUACAGGUACGGGCUCUGAGAGGAGUAGCCCGGAGAUGGGUACUGAGACACGGACCCAGGCCCUAUGGGGCGCAGCAGGCGAGAAAACUUUGCAAUGUGCGAAAGCACGACAAGGUUAAUCCGAGUGGUUUCUGCUAAAGGAACCUUUUGUCAGUCCUAGAAACACUGUUGAAUAAGGGGUGGGCAAGUUCUGGUGUCAGCCCGCCGCGGAAAACCAGCACCGUCAAGUGGUCAGGAUGAUUAUNGGCCUAAACAUCCGACCUGCUGUGUAGGUUUCGGUUAAAUGCAUACGCUAGACUAUGGGGCUGCGGGGAAUACUGGCAAGCUAGGAGNGGGGAAAGGAGACGGUCUCGUAAGAAGGGGAGAAACUCUUGAUCGNAGGGUGAACCCCUGGGGG
rnacentral:rRNA from 1 species